UAAAUACAGAAUUCAGCGGGUCUCCUUUGCAUGAAUUUGGCAUGAUAUUCUGGUUCGCCUUCUCCACCAUGGUCUUUGCUCACAGUAAGCCACCUUUCAUCUUUUAACUACAGUCAUUUUUGCCAAAUGUUACACUAGAGCAAAUCUAAGGCCGUGUUUUGGCAAUUGAUAAUAUUGUAAACAUCUAAACUGAUAUUGAAUGUUAAUAAAAACAAGAAGUUGUUUCUGACCAUUUGGCAUUGAAUUUUUUGGUAGGGGAGAGGGUGAUAAGCAACUGCGCCAGGUUUCUGCUGAUCAUAUGGCUCUUGGCAGUAUUUGUAUUAACCCAAAGCUACUCCGCCAGUCUUACAUCCAUAUUAACAAUCCAGAAGGUGGAGCCAGCAGUUACUGAUAUUAAUGAGCUCAUAAGAAACAAGGAAUAUGUAGGCUACUCGAACACAUCAUUUGUUUUUGGAUUUCUCAAGAAAAUGGAAUUUGAUGCAUCUCGACUUCGGUCAUUCAAGUCAGCGGAGGAAAUGGAUGAACUUCUCUCCAAAGGGAGUGCAAAUGGUGGAAUAGCAGCUGCCUUUCAUGAGAUCCCGUACAUAAAGCUGUUUCUAGGCAAAUACUGUUCAAAAUACAUGAUGGCCGGGCCCACGUACAAGGCUGAAGGUUUUGGAUUCGUAUGUGACCCUCCUCAUCACCUACUUUCAAGUGUAUCUAUCACAUAUAUUUUUUUUUCAUUCUAUGUUGUCGUUUUCUGUACUUUUAAUAAAAUAUCUCUCUUCUUUGCUGCAGGUCUUCCCAAUAGAUUCUCCUCUAGUACCUGAUGUUUCACGAGAAAUUUUGAAUGUGGCGGAGGGCCAGAAGAUGGUCGAGAUUGAGACGACGUGGUUGGGAGAUAAGACCAAAUGUCCAGACCUUAACAGCUUACUUCCACCUAAGAGUCUUGGCCUUUCAAGCUUCAGGGGACUCUUUAUUAUGGUAGGAAUAGCUGGAGUUUUAGCACUUAUAUUUAGAUUCUUCAGUAAAAAACCGCAAUUCCCUGGUGAUGAACUCACAGCGCAGAGCCAGAGAGAUGAAUUACAUCGGUUACUGAACAGGAGGUACGAGGUAGGAGGUGGUCAACAAGGCAAUGUACCUGAGAAUCCAAAUGAACUGCCCGCAAUUCGGGCACAUUUACAUGAACAUGAGUUACAUGAGUUACCGAUGAGGUUCAAUAAUAGAGAUGAACAAGGCAAUUAGUCUAAGAAUCUGAAUUAAAGCGAGUGAAUCACCUAAUUUGUAAUUUUUUGCUUCCACUAUGAUUGUGAUAUAUUGGUACUCUUUGUUGGAUCCUCCGUGACACUUUGUAAGCUGUAACCGAACUUUUAGUAUGAAGAUGUGAUACUAAGAAGGGUGUUCCAAAUCGUGAGGUAAAAACUCAAAUCUUGCUAUCUUAGAAAAUUCUACUCCCCCUUUCCACAAUCCUACUACAGUUCAUCCUCGUCAACAUAUUUGGAUUGUUCUACAUUUUGCUUUUGCUGUAGCAAGAUAGUCAUCGCCACUUUAAAUGUGUAUAACUUCACAAGUGCAAUAGCAGAUGUAUGCUACCUUUCAAUUUCUGAUAUGGGCUACAAAUCACUAGCUUUGAUUAAAAUAUCAUUACAAAGAAGGAAAAAAAAAUGAACUCUGUUAAAGGGACAUCAAGGAAACAUAAAAAAAGCUAGAGGUGUUAUUGUAAAUCAUAAAUCAGUUGCUACAUGUUUCAUUUUCUUUUCCUUGAUUUCUCUUCUUAGGACUUGCACCAGCAAGUUCUCUUCUGUUUCAUUUCAUGUUCGAACCUUUGUACUCUACUGUAAUUAUGACAUAUAAAUUGGAAUUCUGUGUUGGUUAUCUAUACACAUCUAAAAGUCGUCCCGGUUUAAAUUUUAGUUUAGGUCCUUCAGUAGUCAAACUUUUAGUAUGAGGGUAUACCUAAAGAGUGUGUCCAAAUGACCUAAAAUCAUGUCGUAGAACUCACAUUUGGCUGUCUUAUAAACUUCUAUUCACCGCUUCCACAGUCCCACUAGAAUUCCUCCUCGUUAAAGUGUUUACUAAGGGAUGCCAUUCACUAGAGAUCAUACAUAUUCUUUUAGGCAUUUCAACAAACAUGAAAUAGGCAUCAACACCAACAUUAACAAAAAAAAAAAACACAGAAUACCCCCUCAAACAAUAGUUUCUACAAUUGACCCCAAAAAAUAAACUGACACAUAAAUAGAACACAUUUUGUUAUAAGGAUUCCCAAUCAGGAUUAGGUCAGAUAUACUUGGUGUUGAACGAAUCCAAAGUGGUUGAUAUAAAUAGAAGAAAAAAAAACAUAUACAGCAAGUGGUAAUAUUAAAGCAAAAUGAGAGAGCGUUUACCUGAGUAAGAUUAACAGUCUCGAUCAUCCCCAUGGCCAGAGGCGUAGACGUGUCUGGCCGAGGUCUCUUUCACACUCUUCUUCUUCUUCUUCGCCCAGUCAAGUCAAUAUAAGAAAAUGAUCGAUAAAACCAAAUGUCCAGAUUCUAGUACUUUGUUCUCGUCCAACAGUAUCGGUUUAGAGAGCUUUUGGGGGCUGUUCUUGAUAGUGGGAAUUGCUGCAGCUUCAGCAUUGAUAAUCUACGCGAUCAAAUUCCUACGCGAAAAAUAGAGAUAGAGAGAGUGGCUGUGGAGGUGAUUGCGUGAAGUGAGCAGCAGAAUCAUCUAACGAACAUGAUUUUCGAUUUAGUCCGUCGACUUUUUCAGUGGCCUCUCCGUGUACUAAUGGCCCGACUUCUCGAGCCCAAAUGCGCAGAAUGUAGAUUUUCGAGCUAUGCAGCAAGAAAUCGAACUUGUCAAUCCGAAUCAAAACGAGCAAUUGUCAUCAACAACGGUGGACUUGGCGCAUGAAGUUCACUAAGUGUGGUAGCUUUAUCUUUCAUCUCAAUCAGAUAGGGGUAAGAUGACAUCUUGUAAUUUCAUUUCCAUUGUAGAAGAGUACUCUCAUCUAACAUUUCAAGAAGAAUAAAAGAAAAAAAGAUCUCGAUUAGUGUCUUGUUCCAAGAUAGUUCCUUAGGAGCUUUAAUGCCUGAAAUUUUGAUUUGCGAUAACACAUCAUUAGCAUUAAAACUAGCAUUGAUACAAUAUCGAAAAAAAUGUAAUUGUGUAGAAAUUCGGAGAAGGGCUGUUUAGGAAAAAUCACAAAGCUACAGAUUUCACCUUAAGUACGAGCUAAUAGAGGAAAAGAGAUGCAUGACUUGAGUAUGACAAUGGAAGAAUGCAGGCAAUUUCUAAGAGUUAAUAUUCUUGUAGGCAUUUCAACAAACAUGUACUAGGCAUCCACACAAUCCAUCAAUGCAAUCAUUAAAAAGAAUAUAAAUCAGUAAUUAUUAAUUACCAACAUCUCUGUCACGAGUGACGACAACUUGGAUUCUUCUUCUCAUAAAGUACUCCGAGGUUGUCAAUAUUAUCCGCUCUAGUUAGAUUUAAAUAUUUGCACUUGUAAUAAAUACAUUUUCAAUAUUCUGAGUAAGAGCACUUUGUUCACGUCUUCCCCUGCCUUGCCAAAUCAAUUACAUUUAUAACCAAUAAAUCUUUCAAAGUCAAAGUCAACCAUAGAAGUUGCUAAACAUGAUUAAUCACCCUAAUUGCCUCAUGUAAAUUUCAAAUUUCGAAGAGUUCGAGUUUUUUUUGUAAUAAGUCAAACCUCAAGAAUGAAUGAAUAAUUGUUUAUAAGGGUAAAUUACGGUCAUUCCCAUAGGGUAAUGCUAAAUUACGAAAAAAUCCCUCAUGUUUGGAUAUUUAUAAUCAAUUAAUCAUCCCCUCAAGUCCAUCCUUGCGGUGUCAAAUUUGGAAUCUUCCAUAAUCUAGAAGAUUACGUUGAAUUUGACACCGUAAGGGUGUACGCGUAGAAGAUUCAUAGUCGAUGGAUGGUUGUAAUUAUCCAAACAUAAGUGAGUUUGUCGUAAUUUAAUCUUAACUCGGGGGUGGCCGUAACAUAAAAAAAAAAUCAUUCUAAUCAAACCUUUUAACAAGCAUUUAUGAAAAUUUACAACAUCAACCAAUUUUGGAUAGCUCAUUGACUUUACAAAAGUAAACUCCCAUGAUUCUCCAAAGAAACUUCAAAAUACAAUAUAUUAGGACAGCUCAUUUUGGGUCCUACACCAUGUACUUAGUUCUGGAUGUAACAGUUCAAAUUCAAACAUCCAAAAACACAAUGCCCUGUGUAUGCAUUUUUUUUUGGUAAUCAAAUUAAAUCAUCAUCUAGAAAGAAAAAAAAAAGAAAUGGAGAAGAUCAAAACCUGCAGAUAUGUCAUUUUGCAUCUCUUCUGUUAUUUAUGUGCCGUGAUUUUCUCAACAAAAAUGGCAGCGGCACAGAACAUCUCUGUAAGAGUAGGAGUGGUGCUAGACAUGGAUGAGUAUGGAAAGAUGGCAUUCAACUGCAUAUCAAUGGCGCUAUCGGAUUUCUACACUACACAUGAUUCUUACAACACGAGGCUGUUUCUCUACAACCGGGACUCCAACGGAGACGUCAUCGGGGCAGCUGCUGCAGGUACUCCGCCUAAAACACACACAACACACAUUCAAGAAACAAGGAAGAAACGAAAAAAAUAUAAAAAAAUUAUAAACGUAAUCAACUCAUAUAGUAAGAUUUUUUAAUUACUAUGUCAGAUGCUGUAGGAUGAAUAUUCAAUUGGGCCCAACUGCCAACUUUUCUGUUGGUUAUAACUUUCAGGCUUCAGCAGCAUUACUUGUUCUUCUAACUAUACUUCAAGCAUAAUUGGAAACUUACCCAAACAUAGUAAUCCCAAUGUAUAACAUAUUUACCCUCACCAAAAUAUUUCUUUACGGAAAUCGCAUCACAACAUUACCGAUAUUGAAGGAUAAUAGGGUAAAAGGACUAUUUUCUUCACCACGUGACAUCUUUUGAUAACGUUCAUUACUACUGACAAAUCCAGAUCAAGUGAAUUUUUUUUCCUAGAUGAGAAAUACCCUAAACGGUCAUCGCUUUUUACAUCUUAAUUUCAAAAUAAAAAGCAUACAACUAUGUUAUGUUGCCCAUGAAAUGCAGGUUUGGACCUGCUGAAGAAUAUUGAAGUGCAAGCCAUAAUAGGUCCCAUGUACUCGGUACAGGCUAAUUUCCUUAUUUCUCUUGGACAGAAAGCUCACGUUCCUAUUAUUACCUUCUCAGCCACAAGUCCUUCUCUUUCAUCACUAAGGAGUCCUUAUUUCGUUCGGGCUACUCUAAACGACUCUACGCAAGUAAACCCCAUAGUUGCAAUUAUUCAAGCCUUUAAAUGGAAAGAAGUCGUGCCAAUCUAUGAGGAUAACGAAUUCGGGGAAGGGAUUGUACCGUUUUUAAGCGAUGCCUUAGAACAGGUAAAUGUGCGCGUACCUUACAGGAGUGUCAUUCCGUCAUUAGCAACAGACGAACAAAUUGUCGAUGAGCUUAACAAGCUGAAGACUAUGCAAACAAGAGUAUUCAUCGUGCACAUGUUACGCAGUCUCGGUUCUCGCCUGUUCGCCAAAGCAGCACAACUAGGAAUGAUGAGUAAAGAUUACGCAUGGAUAAUAACAGACAGCAUCACAAACGAAUUAACUGCAAUGGAUCCUUCUCUCGUAGCAUCGAUGCUAGGAGUAAUAGGAGUAAAACCUUAUAUUCCACAGACAAAAGAGCUGGACGACUUUGCAAUUCGAUACAAAAACAAGAUUCAGCAGAGCAAUCCAAAAGCUCUAAAUCUGGACAUAUAUGGUAUAUGGGCUUAUGACUCGGCCCUUGCACUAGCCAUGGCAGUUGAAAAAGCAGAGUUAGCAAAUCUUACAUAUCAGAAGACGAACACGUCGACAAAUUCUACAGAUCUUGAAGCCUUUGGGGUAUCGUUAAGUGGACCAAAGCUCAUUCAGGCUUUAUUGAGUAUCACGUUUAGAGGCCUUGCUGGAAACUUCCAAUUAGUCGAUGGCCAACUCCAAGCACCGCCUUACGAAAUAGUCAACAUUGUUGGUCCUGGAGCUAGUGGUAUAGGAUAUUGGACAAAAGAGAAUGGAAUUGUCAACAAACUAAACUUCAGUAGUUCAAGCGCAAGCGCAUAUUCAACUUCCAAAGACAACCUCGGAUCAAUUACAUGGCCAGGCAACGAAUCAUCGCCACCUAAAGGUUGGGUGGUUCCAACAAAAACCAAGAAAAUGAGAGUAGGCGUGCCUGUAAAGGAUGGUUUCACUGAAUUCGUCCGUGUUACAUGGAAUUCCGACAAUUCUACGACAGUGGAAGGAUUCUGCAUAGAUAUUUUUGAUGCGGUGAUGAAAGCACUACCAUAUGAUGUGCCGUAUGAAUACAUUCCAUUUGCAACUCCUGAUCACAAGAUGGCUGGAGAUUAUAAUGAAAUGGCCUAUCAAGUGUACCUUGGAGUAAGUAUUUUCCCUUUUCUUAUUGAAUUUAAAAAUCAAAUACAUUUUCUAUCAGCACAAAGCAAGAUGCACUAUACUAUGCCUGAAUUCUUCUAUUCUCUGCUUAUUGAUGAAUAGAACUAUGACGCUGUGGCUGGUGACGUAACAAUUCUAGGAAAUAGGUCUCAGUACGUAGACUUCACUCUGCCUUUUAUAGAGUCUGGUGUUUCGAUGGUUGUACCGAUCCCAGAGGAUAAGAAGGGAAAUACAUGGAUAUUAGUGAAGCCAUUGACUUGGGAGUUGUGGUCAACAAUAUUCUUCUUUUUUGUUAUAAUUGGGAUUUUGGUUUGGCUUCUUGAACGCCCAGAAAAUAGAGAUUUCAGAGGGUCUCGUUGGGACCAAUUUUGCAUGAUAUUCUGGUUCAGCUUCUCCACCAUGUUCUUUGCUCACAGUAAGCUACCUUUCAUCUUUUAAACUACAGUAAGUCCUUUUUUACCAAAUAUUAAAACCUACUUAAUUAACUCUGCCAAUUUUGGCAUUGACUUUUUUUUUUUUUGGUAGAGGAGAAGGUGAAAACCAACUCCGCCAAGAUAGUGGUGAUUGCAUGGCUAUUGGCGGUAUUUAUAUUAACCCAAGGCUAUGCUUCCAGUCUUACAUCCAUGUUAACAGCCCAGCAGCUGAUAGUGAAUGAUGUUAAUGAGCUUAUAAGAAACAAGGACUAUGUAGGCUACUCGAAUACAUCGUUUGUAUAUGGAUUUCUGAAAAACCUUUUUAACGAGUCGCAACUUCGGCCUUUCAACUCAGCAGAGGAAAUGGAUGAACUUCUCUCCAAAGGGAGUGCAAAUGGUGGAAUAGCAGCUGCCUUUCAUGAGAUCCCAUAUAUAAAGAUGUUUCUAGGCAAAUACUGUUCGAAAUACAUGAUGGUCGGACCCACUUAUAAGGCUGCUGGUUUCGGAUUUGUAUGUGACCCUCUUCACUAUAUAUAUGUUUUCAUUUUUUAUUUUUAUUUUUGCUUUCUAGACUCUCUUUCUCUCUUAUUUGCAGGUUUUUCCAAUAGAUUCUCCUCUAGUACCUGAUGUUUCGAGAGAAAUUUUGAAUGUGACUGAGGUUCAAAAAAUGGUGGAUAUUGAAAAGAAGUGGUUGGGAGAUGAGUCCAAAUGUCCAGACACUGACACCAAAAGUAUUGGCCUAUCAAGCUUCAGGGUAGUCUUUAUUAUUGUAGGAACAGUUGGAAUAGCAGUGGUCAUAAAUUAUAUGAUUAGACAAGGACGUGAAAAUAAGAAUGUCCAUAAAGAUGAUCCCCCAAUUGUCCAUAAUGAUCCCCCAAUUGUCCAUAAUGAUCCCCCAAUUGUCCAUAAUGAUCCCCCAAUUAUCCAUAAUGAUCCCCCAAUUAUCCAUAAUGAUCCCCCAAUUGUCCAUAAUGAUCCCCAAUUAUCCAUAAUGAUCCCCCAAUUAUCCAUAAUGAUCCCCCAAUUAUCCAUAAUGAUCCCAAAAUUGUCGAUAAUGAUCCCACAAUUGAGAGACAGAUAUAUGAGUUAUGGCAGUCACUAAAGACUUUCAAGGAAAGACUAACACCUAAACUCUAGCACAUGUGGCUGUCAGGUUUCUGUUUACCUCAAAAUAAAGAUUGGUGUGCGACUCUUAAUUGAGGAGGUGGUAUCCUAAUUUCUAAAUCUCAUUCUACGUGUUUCGUAAUUUUUUUCCCCUUAAAUUCUCUUUCUUGAAAUAACGUGAUUAACUUCUCUUCUGAGAAUAUCUUCUUGGGACUUUGAUCGGCAAGUUCUCUUAUGUUUUGUUUCAUGUUCUAACCUUUUGCUUUUACUGUGAUUAUGAUACAUAAAUUUGAACUUUGUUUUGGUUAUGUAUAUCCUCAUAAAACUUUAUCCAAAAGUUUGCAUUUUUUAUCGAUUCCUCAUUGACUCUUGUAAGUUGUAAGGGUGUGAGAGUGAGACUAAGAAAUGUGUUCGAAAUCAUGACAUAGAAACUCAAAUUUUUGCUGUCUUGGAAAGUUCUACUCACCCCUUACAUAUUCCCACUAUAAUUCCCUCUCGUCAAACAUAUUUGGAUUCUUCUACAUUAUAGCUUUUACGAUGGAAAAACUUAAGCUAACAGUGAAAAUGAGAUGCACAAGGAAUUAAAUGUUUACUGAGGAAUGACAAUCAUUACGAGCACGACAAUGGAAGUAAGGAGAUAAUUUCUAGGAGUUCAUAUUUGGGUACCGAGUAAGAAUUUGAGUAUCCUUGUCUAACAUGUUGAGCUUCGUGCCGCACGUGCAGACGUAUCUGAUCGAGGUCUCCUUUCUCCAAUUCUUCUUCUUCUUUUUGCCAAACUCAACUACAUUUGUACACAAUGAAUCACUCAAAGUCAGUUUUACCAAUAAAAAAGGACAAAAGGAAAAAAAAUCAAAUUUACAUUAUUUACUCAGCUCUGUGAUUACAUGGAAGUUGGAAAUAAAACAGAAUCCUUCUGUGAAUCUUGAGAAUAUAUUUUGUAAUUUACGCAGAGUGUUUUACGGGCUACGAAACAUUCCAAUUUUUCAAUAACAUGCAAUAUUUAAAUUAUGUUCUAAAAUUGCGAACACUCUCUUGAGUAAUUACAAUACAAAAUACCCUAAAUUUAAUUUUAAUUUACAGGUAAUUGGAAAGGUGUAAUCUGCAAGUGGAAUGGAUUGGGAAAUGAGUAGAGAAAAGAAUGACAAGUAGACUAUGAGUGUGCUUGUCUUCACGUCUUGAGCCUUAUGGAAAGUUGACCUUUCUGGUCGAAGACUUAUUUAUAUUCUUCUUCUUGACCAAGUCAACACACACGUACACACCCAAUCAAAUUUGAACCCCGUCCUCUCCCACACCCCACAGUGAGAGAAAAAGCCACAAUACCAACCUAAGGCCUUAAUUGACGAUAAAAGGUUACCUUUAACAAAUAGUCAAUAGGAUACAAGGACUGUUGGUGACGAAACCAAUAGGUAUUUUAUAUUUUGGAAUAAAUUACAGAAACUAUUUAAGACUUGUGCUAUUUGUAAAAGUAAAAUAAAGGGAAAGAUCAUAUAACUUUUCGGAUCAGCUUAAAAAUUACCAACCAUUUUUUUCAUCAAGUUGCAUGCAUGUUGGUGAUACGUCAUUGACUUCACAAAAGUAAACUCUAUGAUUCUUUCAGCACACACCAUGCUGGAUUAUAUAUAUAUUCUGUAUUAUACACAUAGCACAGACCAUGUUUUGGGCCCUACCUAUAUUUUAACUGUGGAUGUGACAGUUGAAGACAAACCCUUCAAACAAUGGUAACCAAACAAUGAUCAUUCUCUCAAGUCUCAAACAUGCAAAAUUUAGGAAAAAAGGAUAUGGAGAAGAGAAGAAUUACCUGCAGCAAACCAAUUCUGCAUCUCUUCUUUUAUUUAUUGAUCACUUUGAAGAUUUUUCCUACAAAAAUGGCGACGGCUCAGAACAUCACUGUAAGAGUAGGGGUUGUGUUAAACAUGGAUGGUUUUGGACAGAUGUCAUUCAACUGCUUAUCAAUGGCGCUUACGGAUUUCUACUCUACGCACAAACAAUAUAGAACGAAGCUGGUUCUUACCGACCGGGACUCCAAAGACGAUGCCGUUGGAGCAGCUGCAGCAGGUACUCUGCCUAUAAAAAAACAUAUAACACACACUCAGGAAAUAAGGAAGAAGAAAUAGAGGAAACAAAAAGUUAUAAUUUGAUUUAGCCUAUUAACUAUUCAAUGAUUUUCUUAUUCUUGUUCUGAGGUCUCCCAUGUGAAACAAUGGGUCAAUCGCUUUGUCUUGUCUGAAAAUGGAUGUUAUUAAUUAAACUAGUUGGCAAUCAAGAAAUUCUAUAAAUUUCAAAUUACAAUUCUGUAGGAACAAUCCAUAAUGAUUUUUUUGGGUAUGGCAUUUUAGUCUGUCCGGGAAACAAGUUUAUGUAUAAGAAAGAGUAAACGCUCUACUACUAUAUUGUUAGUUUCUUGCUCAAGUUCAACAGAACAAGAUGUUACUAGAUAUCACAGGGCCAAAAAACACUCUUAUUUAUCUGUUCCUCACAGGCUAGUUUGCUUAAGCAUUAUACAUAUUUUUCCCAAUAAAAGCUAUAAACUUUUCCUAGUUGUAUAAGUGAGAUUUUAAAAAAAAUUUAAGCCCACAAAACUUCAAUUUUCAAGAAAGGAGGAAGAACAUUGAAAUAUUAAAAUUUUCUAAAUAUUCACUCAAGAUGUGGCUGUAUCUACUACUAUUCAGUUCUUUACAUGGAAAAAUUGUGUUGAAGUACUAGCUGAAAUAUUACCAUAUACUGGGAAAGUGCAAACAGAUUCAAGAUGCACCUUCCAGAAUGUAGGCAAUCGACUGAUGAACGUUUUGUUGCACAUGAAAUGCAGGUCUGGACCUACUGAAGAACGUUGAAGUGCAAGCAAUCAUAGGUCCCGUGUACUCAAGUCAGGCUAACUUCCUUAUUUCUCUUGGACACAAAGCUCAUGUUCCUAUUAUUACCUUCUCAGCCACAAGUCCUUCUCUUUCAUCACUUCGGAGUCCAUAUUUCAUCAGGGCUACUCUAAAAGACUCUUCACAAGUAGGCGCCAUAGUUGCAAUUAUUCAAGACUUUGGAUGGAGAGAAGUUGUGGCCGUUUAUGAGAACACUGAAUUUGGAGAAGGGAUUCUACCAUUUCUGACUGAUGCCUUAGAACAGGUAAAUGUGCGCGUACCUUAUAGGAGUGUCAUUUCACCAUCAGCAACAGAUGAUCAAAUCCUUGCAGAGCUUUACAAGUUGAUGGCUAUGCAAACCAGAGUUUUCAUCGUCCACAUGUUGAACCCUCUUGCUUCUCGCCUGUUCACCAAAGUGAAGCAACUAGGAAUGAUGAGUAAAGAUUAUGCAUGGAUAAUAACAGAUAGCAUCACAAACGAUUUAAACUCAAUGGAUCGUUCUGUCAUAGCAUCUAUGCUAGGGGUAAUAGGGGUAAAACCUUAUGUUCCACAGACAAAGGAACUGGACGACUUUACAACUCAAUACAAGAAAAAGGUUCUGCAGAGCAAUCCAAAAGCCCUUGGUGUGGACAUAUACGGGCUAUGGGCUUAUGACUCAGCCAUUGCACUAGCCAUGGCAGCAGAAAGAGUAGGGUUAGCAAAUCUUACAUAUCAAGAGACAAACAUGUCUACAAGUUCUACAGAUCUUGAAGCCUUUGGAGUAUCAUUAAGUGGACCAGAGCUGAUUCAGGCUUUAUCAAACAUCACAUUCAGAGGCCUUGCUGGAGAUUUUCGAUUGGUCGAUGGUCAACUCCAAGCGCCUCCAUACGAGAUAGUCAAUAUGGUAGGUCCAGGAGCUAGAGGCAUAGGAUAUUGGACGAAAGAGAGUGGGAUUGUUAAAGAACUGAACAUCACAAUUGCAUCCAAAAAAAACUAUGCCACUUCCAAGUCCAACCUUGGGCCCACUAUAUGGCCAGGCGACGAACCAUCUCCACCUAAAGGUUGGGUGGUUCCUACGAGAGGGAAGAAACUGAGAGUAGGAGUACCUGUAAAGGCUGGUUUCACUGAUUUCGUUCGUGUAACUUGGAAUUCCGACAAUUCUACAACAGUGGAAGGAUACUGCAUAGAUGUUUUUAAUGCAGUGAUGGCAGCACUACCAUACGGCGUGCCGUAUGAAUACAUUCCAUUUGCAACUCCUGACCACAAGAUGGCUGGUAAUUACAAUGAGUUGGUCUAUCAAGUGUACCUUGGAGUAAGUAUCUUCCUUUUUCCUAUGAAUUUAAAAACCAAACACACUUUAAUCAACAUGGAGCAAGAUGCAAUAUACUACAGCUAACGUUUUUUCCUAAUCAAUGAACAGAACUAUGACGCUGUGGCUGGAGAUGUAACAAUUCUAGUAAAUAGGUCACAGUACGUCGACUUCACUCUGCCAUAUACUGAGUCUGGUGUUUCAAUGGUUGUAAAAAUCCAAGACGAUAAGAGGAAAAAUACAUGGCUUGUUUUUAAACCACUGACUUGGCAACUGUGGAUCACAACCUUUAUCUCUUGUGUUGCGGUUGGGUUUUUGGUUUGGCUUCUUGAACGCGAGAAAAAUACAGAAUUCGGUGGGUCUACUUUGCAUCAAUUAGGCAUGAUAUUCUGGUUCGCCUUCUCCACCAUGGUCUUUGCUCACAGUAAGCCACCUUUCAUCUCUUAACCUACAGUUGUUUUAGCCAAAUGUUACACGUAGAGCAAAUCUAAGGCCGUGUUUUGGCAAUUGAUAAUAUUGUGAACAUCUAAACUGAUAUUGAAGGUUAAUAAAAACAAGAAGUUGUUUCUGACCAUUUGGCAUUGGAUUUUUUGGUAGGGGAGAGGGUGGUAGGCAACUGCGCCAGGUUUCUGCUGAUCAUAUGGCUCUUGGCAGUAUUUGUAUUAACCCAAA
rnacentral:lncRNA from 1 species